AGGGUUUGAUCAUGGCUCAGAACGUACGCUGGCGGCACGCCUAACACAUGCAAGUCGAACGAAGUAGCAAUACUUAGUGGCAGACGGGUGAGUAACAUGUGGGUAUCUGCCCUUUGGCCUGGAAUAACACGAGGAAACUUGUGCUAAUACCGGAUAAGUCUUUACAGAGAAAGCUUUAUGCACCAAUGGAUGAGCCUGCACUUGAUUAGUUUGUUGGUGGGGUAAUGGCCUACCAAGACUGUGAUCAAUAGCUGAUUUGAGAGGAUGAUCAGCCACAUUGGGACUGAGACACGGCCCAAACUCCUACGGGAGGCAGCAGUAGGGAAUCUUGCACAAUGGGGGAAACCCUGAUGCAGCGAUGCCGCGUGAGUGAAGAAGGCCUUUGGGUUGUAAAGCUCUUUCGUCGGGGAAGAAAAUGACUGUACCCGAAUAAGAAGGUCCGGCUAACUUCGUGCCAGCAGCCGCGGUAAUACGAAGGGACCUAGCGUAGUUCGGAAUUACUGGGCUUAAAGAGUUCGUAGGUGGUUAAAAAAGUUGGUGGUGAAAUCCCAGAGCUUAACUCUGGAACUGCCAUCAAAACUUUUUAGCUAGAGUAUGAUAGAGGAAAGCAGAAUUUCUAGUGUAGAGGUGAAAUUCGUAGAUAUUAGAAAGAAUACCAAUUGCGAAGGCAGCUUUCUGGAUCAUUACUGACACUGAGGAACGAAAGCAUGGGUAGCGAAGAGGAUUAGAUACCCUCGUAGUCCAUGCCGUAAACGAUGUGUGUUAGACGUUGGAAAUUUAUUUUCAGUGUCGCAGCGAAAGCAAUAAACACACCGCCUGGGGAGUACGACCGCAAGGUUAAAACUCAAAUGAAUUGACGGGGACCCGCACAAGUAGUGGAGCAUGUGGUUUAAUUCGAAGAUACGCGCAGAACCUUACCAACACUUGACAUGUUCGUCGCGACUUUAAGAGAUUAAAGUUUUCGGUUCGGCCGGACGAAACACAGGUGCUGCAUGGCUGUCGUCAGCUCGUGUCGUGAGAUGUUGGGUUAAGUCCCGCAACGAGCGCAACCCUCACUUUUAGUUGCCAUCAUUAAGUUGGGCACUCUGAAAGAACUGCCAGUGAUAAGCUGGAGGAAGGUGGGGAUGACGUCAAGUCCUCAUGGCCCUUACGUGUUGGGCUACACACGUGCUACAAUGGUAUCUACAACAGGAAGCAAAACUGCGAGGUUAAGCAAAUCCUUAAAAGAUACCUCAGUUCGGAUUGCACUCUGCAACUCGAGUGCAUGAAGCUGGAAUUACUAGUAAUCGUGGAUCAGCGUGCCACGGUGAAUGCGUUCCCGGGUCUUGUACACACCGCCCGUCACACCAUGGGAGUUGGUUCUACCUUAAGGCAAGGUUUAAAACCCUUGACCACGGUAUAGUCAGCGACUGGGGUGAAGUCAUAACAAGGUAGCCGUA
rnacentral:rRNA from 1 species